rnacentral:lncRNA from 1 species
GGCAAGUGAGCGAAUGGUCUAAAAGGAAAGAAGGGAAUCAAAUUAAAAAAACAAAAGGAUGUCUGAAGUUUCAAAAUCCUAGAAACAGUUAGACUCGAGACCUUGCAAAUGAUUCUUGUUAAAUAAUUUAACAAUUAAUCAUUUAUUUGGGCCUUUAUUAUCCAUUUCUUUCACAACCCUUUAACCCUUAGCCACGUUACAAGCCAAUUAAAGUCUACGCCGAUUGAAGAAUGUUUGUCCUAGUCUUUCUCACGAAUUUAACUCUGGAACGAAAUGAUGUGGUGAAUGACACAAUCACUUGAAAAAAAAAAGAAAAAGCAUCGAAAAAGAAAAAAAAAUAAAAAAAAAAGAUGUGAAGUCUCCUUGUCAAUAAAGAAUCAUUAAUUUGGGGCAAUCUUUCCUAACCAAACCUUUCCACAUCUCCAAAGCAUGCCUACUGUUCAAAAUUGAGGCAGUCUUGUGAGCCCGGCGUGUCAGUCGCACUUGCCCCCAGAUGAGAGACACACAAGUGUUAAUAUUGCUCACAAAUAAUCAUUUAGCCACCUACCUUUCGUCCCUUUUUCCCACACCUCCUCGGGUUCAAGCUGGUUUGGAUUGCAAAAGGUGAUAAAAGGAAUUUGAACGCACAAUUAUCUUAUCUUCCUUCUUAUCAGAAGACUCACUGUCUCUUUACAAUAUUAUUAAUGAAUGCAUUAUGAAUGUACAUCGAGUUUGACGACAAUAUUGACAACAGAUUCAAAGCAUGGAAUCUUUCAAAAAAAAAGGAAAAAAUGAAGAAGAGGAAGCGAGAACAAAAGAAAAGAACAAAACGAAGGUCUCAUGUGUUUACGCAUCCAUACAUCCUCAUGUCAUUACAUCAUAAAUAUCAAGGGAAGCGAGG